rnacentral:misc_RNA from 1 species
UGGUUUUUCAGUUAGGGCACUUUUUAAUUAGCUAGUGUUUAUUUUAGGAGGAGCUUGUGUAUACAGUUUGUAUAAGUAAAUAAAAGCUACAAUUUAGCUUGCUUUUCGAAGCUCCUUUAGGGAUUUGUUCUCUGUCUAGAUCUCUCUCACAAGCUUCUUGUUAUGGUUAUUUAUUGUUCACAAGUUUCUUUAAUAUCCUUUUGUGCUUCUGUAUGUGUCGUUCUUGCAUGGAAAACCCAUGAAUCAUUCUUUGUUCGCCCUUUAAAAUCAUAGGGAGUAAACAAAGAGAAUUAUUGGUCACCCAAAGAGGUGUUUCAGAGCACGAGAGCUGCUGUUUCAACUGUGUAACAAUGUGAUAUAGCUAGCUAGCUAGCAAUAGUUUGGCCACAAACAUGCGUAAGUGUUCCCACGUGUAUGAUUUCAAGUUCAAAGCAAAUGACAUGCAAGUCAAUAUCUAAACAAGCAGCCAAAACUUG